rnacentral:rRNA from 1 species
AUGGAGAGGUGCGAGAUGGAUGUGGGGAGGAGCGGGCAUGGUGCAGUGGCUGAAGCAGGCGUUGGCGUGGUGGCGGCGUCGGGAGCGGUUGGAGGCGACCACGGGCAUCCAGUCGUAACGGCAGGGGGCGAUGUGGCUGCUCGAGGUCCGGUUCAUCUUGGAUGUCACGGAGGACAGAAUUUUGUGGGCAGAGUGUCCUUGCCUCAUUGGACAUGUUCACUCUCAUGGCGAGCCUCAGUGGCCUGUGGCCGCCAGCGUGCCCUCUCGGUGCCUGCCGGUGCAAGAAGGCAUCGACGGGGCAGAUGGUGGCCCUGUACACUGGUUUGUGCCUGCUCUGCCUGA